UAUGUAACAUUUACAAGUUUUUGUUUUGUUUACAAAUUCUUCUUACAAUUUACAACUCUAACAUUAAUUUACCUAUUUUUCCAUUAAUUUACUAGUUGUAUGUGUGGUUUACAAAUUUUUUGUUUUAUUUAACACUUAAUGUCAAUUUACAAGUUCUAUGUAAUUUUUCUAAAUUUUGGUUUUGUUUACAAGUUCUUCUUACAAUUUACAACUCCAACAUUAAUUUACCAAUUUUUUCAUUAAUUUACUAGUUUUAUGUGUGAUUUACACAUUUUUUGUUUCAUUUCACAAUUAAUGUCAAUUUACUAGUUGUAUGUCAUUUUUCUAAGUUUUUGUUUUGUUUACAAGUUCUUCUUGCAUUUUACAACUCCAACAUUAAUUUACUCAGUUUUCCAUCAAUUUACUAGUUUUAUGUGUGAUUUACACACUUUUUGUUUCAUUUCACACUUAAUGUCAAUUUACUAGUUGUAUGUCAUUUUUCUAAGUUUUUCACACUUAACGUCAAUUUACAAGUUCUAUGUUAUUUUUCUAAGUUUUUAUUUUGUUUACAAGUUCUUCAUCCAAUUUACAACUCUAACAUUAAUUUACUCAAUUUUCCAUCAAUUUACUAGUUUUAUGUGUGAUUUACAUAUUUUUUGUUUCAUUUCACACUUAAUGUCAAUUUAUUAGCUCUAUGUCAUUUUUCUAAUUUUGUUUUGUUUACAAGUUCUUCUUACAAUUUACAACUCCAACAUUAAUUUACCAAUUUUUUUCAUUAAUUUACUAGUUUUAUGUGUGAUUUACAUAUUUUUUGUUUCAUUUCACACUUAAUGUCAAUUUACAAGUUCUAUGUCAUUUUUCUAAGUUUUUGUUUUGUUUACAAGUUCUUCUUGCAAUUUACAACUCCAACAUUAUUUUACUCAUUUUUUCAUUAAUUUACCGGUUUUAUGUGUGAUUUACAAAUUUAUUGUUUCAUUUCACACUUAAUGUCAAUUUGCGAGUUCUGCUGUACGGCCAAGGCGGAUGUACGGUACAGCAGGUUCCAUCUGUAUAUUCCGGCAGAGCAUAUCGAUAUCGGGAUCCCACCAAGCCGGCUCAAUGAGCACCCUUUUGGCGAUCCUAGAUCCUUUAUUUUACUCAUUUUUUCAUUAAUUUACUAGUUUUAUGUGUGAUUUACAAAUUUAUUGUUUCAUUUCACACUUAAUGUCAAUUUACAAGUUCUAUGUCAUUUUUCUAAAUUUUUAUUUUGUUUACAAGUUCUUCUUAAAAUUUACAACUCCAACAUUAAUUUACUCAUUUUUCCAUCAAUUUACUAGUUUUAUGUGUGAUUUACACAUUUAUUGUUUCAUUUCACACUUAAUGUCAAUUUACAAGUUCUAUGUCAUUUUUCUAAGUUUUUGUUUUGUAUACACGUUCUUCUUGCAAUUUACAACUACAACAUUAAUUUACCAAUUUUUCCAUCAAUUUACUAGUUUUAGGUGUCAUUUACAUAUUUUUUGUUUCAUUUCACACUUAAUGUCAAUUUACAAGUUCUAUGUCAUUUUUCUAAGUUUUUGUUUUGUAUACACGUUCUUCUUGCAAUUUACAACUACAACAUUAAUUUACCAAUUUUUCCAUCAAUUUACUAGUUUUAGGUGUGAUUUACAUGUUUUUUUGUUUCAUUUCACAAUUAAUGUCAAUUUACUAGUUGUAUGUCAUUUUUCUAAGUUUUUGUUUUGUUUACAAUUUCUUCUUAUAAUUUACAACUCCAACAUUAAUUUACUAGUUUUUUUUCUAUUUUUUAUUUUUUUUUAAAUUUUGUAGACCAAUUUACCACUCUAACGUUGAUUAUUGGCAUUUUAUGAUUUAGAUAGAAUGAUAUAAGGGUGGGCAUGAGUUGGGUUUGAUAGGGUUAGUGAAAUUCUAACCUGAUCUACUUUUUAAUGAGUUGAGAUAAAAUCCAUCCAACUUAACUAAAUAAACUUGAGAUAAAAUCUACUUUCUCAUCAUCUCUUUCUUCUUCCCUCUAUUAUCAAUGGAUUGUAGAAGCUCAAAUGAAGCAAGUAGCAGCAG
rnacentral:lncRNA from 1 species